rnacentral:rRNA from 1 species
CCUACGGGUGGCAGCAGUGAGGAAUAUUGGUCAAUGGGCGCGAGCCUGAACCAGCCAAGUCGCGUGAGGGAUGAAGGUUCUAUGGAUUGUAAACCUCUUUUAUAAGGGAAUAAAGUGUGGGACGUGUCCUAUUUUGUAUGUACCUUAUGAAUAAGGAUCGGCUAACUCCGGGCCAGCAGCCGAGGUAAUACGGUGGAUCCGAGCGUUAUCCGGAUUUAUUGGGUUUAAAGGGUGCGUAGGCGGCCUUUUAAGUCAGCGGUGAACUUCUGUGGCUCAACCCUAGAAUUGCCGUUGAAAAGGGGGGGAUUGAGUAUGUUUGAGGCAGGCGGAAUGCGUGGGGUAGCGGUGAAAUGCUGAGAGAUCACGCAGAACCCCGAUUGCGAAGGCAGCCCGCCAAGCCAUGACUGACGCUGAUGCACGAAAGCGUGGGGAUCAAACAGGAUUAGAUACCCCGGUAGUC